rnacentral:rRNA from 1 species
AACGAACGCUGGCGGCAUGCCUAACACAUGCAAGUCGAACGAGACCUUCGGGUCUAGUGGCGCACGGGUGCGUAACGCGUGGGAAUCUGCCCUUGGGUUCGGAAUAACAGUUAGAAAUGACUGCUAAUACCGGAUAAUGUCUUCGGACCAAAGAUUUAUCGCCCAGGGAUGAGCCCGCGUAGGAUUAGCUAGUUGGUGAGGUAAAGGCUCACCAAGGCGACGAUCCUUAGCUGGUCUGAGAGGAUGAUCAGCCACACUGGGACUGAGACACGGCCCAGACUCCUACGGGAGGCAGCAGUGGGGAAUAUUGGACAAUGGCGAAAGCCUGAUCCAGCAAUGCCGCGUGAGUGAUGAAGGCCUUAGGGUUGUAAAAGCUCUUUUACCCGGGAUGAUAAUGACAGUACCGGGAGAAUAAGCCCCGGCUAACUCCGUGCCAGCAGCCGCGGUAA